ACGCUAUCACUCCUACGGGAGGCAGCAGUGAGGAAUAUUGGUCAAUGGAGGGAACUCUGAACCAGCCAUCCCGCGUGUAGGAAGACGGCCUUAUGGGUUGUAAACUACUUUUAUACAGGAAGAAACGUACCCUCGUGAGGGUGCCUGACGGUACUGUAGGAAUAAGCACCGGCUAACUCCGUGCCAGCAGCCGCGGUAAUACGGAGGGUGCGAGCAUUAAUCGGAAUUACUGGGCGUAAAGCGCAUGCAGGCGGCCUGUUAAGUCAGAUGUGAAAGCCCGGGGCUUAACCUCGGAAUUGCAUUUGAAACUGGCAGGCUAGAGUCUUGUAGAGGGGGGUAGAAUUUCAGGUGUAGCGGUGAAAUGCGUAGAGAUCUGAAGGAAUACCAGUGGCGAAGGCGGCCCCUGGACAAAGACUGACGCUCAGAUGCGAAAGCGUGGGGAGCAAACAGGAUUAGAUACCCGGUAG
rnacentral:rRNA from 1 species